ensembl:lncRNA
AUGUGUAUCAAUUUACGAUAUUAUUUAAAUGAAGUUUGUUCACAAUAUGUGCUUUUGUACAACAUAGGUGACGGCAAGUUAGUCAGUUCAGUUUUCCCGCCUGCUCUUAUGAGUUGCCUCAGGUCAGACGUCGCCUAUUUUUUUCUUCUUGACAGUAGUUGCCUCAGGCGGCGCCCGGUUCAUGUUGGUCCGUCAUUGUUAUCACUCCGGUGGCGGCAAGUUAGUCAUUUCAAUUUUCCUGCUUCGUCUUCGCGUUGCCUGAGAAGGGUCGAGUUGCUUCGGGUCAGACGAGCGCCAGGUUUUUUUUGUACAGGCUAUGAUAAUAAUUUACAGUAAGAUAUGAAUGGCAUUUGUUCACAAUAUGUGCUUCUGUACAACUGCUUAGGUGGCUAGUUGGUCAGUUCAGCUUCUCCUGCUUCGUCUUCGAGCUGUCUUGAGUUUGACACUCAAUGAUUUAGAGCUUUAAGUAUUCGUGGAUUAUCUAGCUUUUGUGUAAAAAAAUUUUUUUUAGUCAGGCAUUUCAACUACUUUCUAGCAGUUCACAAAUUUCCCCAUCAGCGGAUUAAACCCAGCUGGAGCAAAGCAUUGAUACAUAAUUACACAGCUCUGUUCACAAGCCCUUUGCUUCUUUUGUUAAUGUACAUUGUUGUUAGUCCAGUGUGCCUUUGCAGAAAUCUUGUUUGUUAUUAGGUCAUUAAAAAAGGCUUGAAAAUGACUUCCAACUGCAUCUUAAAUUUAAUCGCUGCCUUAUUUAUUUUUUCCUAAAUGCUUUGAAUACAUUUACUGAUGAAGAAUUUCAUGCUGAAACACUUAAAAUUCAUAUAAAUGAAAUGAGAAAGACACACUGACAGUGUUAAAUGGAUAGAAACAAAGAUGUUAUAGAGAUAGGAUUUUUUUUUACAGUGUAUAUAAACUUAUUUCACCAUACAUGUUUGUGC